rnacentral:ncRNA from 1 species
AUUCAAAGGGGUGCCCGGCUUGUCCGGGCUGAGAUUAUACCCUCAAAACCUGAUUCAGACAAUGCUGACGUAGGGAUUGA